rnacentral:lncRNA from 1 species
GCAGUCAGGGAAAUCAAGUCCAGCAACCAGACAAUGCAAAACAACCAAGAUCCCAUGAUGGUGUGGGGGAACAGUUGAACAAGCAGAAGGGUGUUGCUACACAGAUGUCUCCAGUCUUUAACAUCACAAAAUUUCCACCAUUAUCCCCUAUUGUGAUGUCUAACAGAUUUGAAGUUGGAACAGUGAGUUGGGCAGAUCACCCCCUAGAUGAAAGGGGAACCAGCUAUGGCCAAUGAAGUGGUUAAUUUGGAAUAUAAGGUGUGUAAAUAAAAGGUACAAACAGAAAGAAGCUAAAGAAUACUUUAAAACCAAUAAAUUUGACCUUGUUGGUCUUGUAGAGACAAAGGUUAAAAAAAAAAUGCAGAUAGAAUAGCUAGUUUUUUGUUGCCUAACUGGAGUAUAAUUACUAACUACAAUGGAGCAGUAAAUGGAAGA